rnacentral:rRNA from 1 species
UACGAAGGGGGCUAGCGUUGUUCGGAAUUACUGGGCGUAAAGCGCGCGCAGGCGGUCCUUUAAGUCAGGGGUGAAAGCCCAGAGCUCAACUCUGGAACUGCCUUUGAAACUAGAGGACUUGGGUACGGGAGAGGUGAGUGGAAUUCCGAGUGUAGAGGUGAAAUUCGUAGAUAUUCGGAAGAACACCAGUGGCGAAGGCGGCUCACUGGCCCGUUACCGACGCUCAGGCGCGACAGCGUGGGGAGCAAACAGGG